rnacentral:rRNA from 1 species
AUUGAACGCUGGCGGCAGGCCUAACACAUGCAAGUCGAGCGGAUGAGAGGAGCUUGCUCCUCGAUUCAGCGGCGGACGGGUGAGUAAUGCCUAGGAAUCUGCCUAGUAGUGGGGGACAACGUUUCGAAAGGAACGCUAAUACCGCAUACGUCCUACGGGAGAAAGUGGGGGAUCUUCGGACCUCACGCUAUUAGAUGAGCCUAGGUCGGAUUAGCUAGUUGGUAGGGUAAAGGCCUACCAAGGCGACGAUCCGUAACUGGUCUGAGAGGAUGAGCAGUAACACUGGAACUGAGACACGGUCCAGACUCCUACGGGAGGCAGCAGUGGGAAAUAUUGGACAAUGGGCGAAAGCAUGAUCCAGCCAUGCGGCGGGUGUGAAGAAGGCCUUCGGGUCGUAAAGCACUUUAAGUUGGGAGGAAGGGCUCAUAGCGAAUACCUGUGAGUUUUGACGUUACCAACAGAAUAAGCACCGGCUAACUUCGUGCCAGCCGCCGCCGUAAAAC